rnacentral:rRNA from 1 species
AUUGAACGCUGGCGGCAGGCCUAACACAUGCAAGUCGAACGGUAACGGGAAGCAGCUUGCUGCUUCGCUGACGAGUGGCGGACGGGUGAGUAAUGUCUGGGAAGCUGCCUGAUGGAGGGGGAUAACUACUGGAAACGGUAGCUAAUACCGCAUAAUGUCGCAAGACCAAAGAGGGGGACCUUCGGGCCUCUUGCCAUCGGAUGUGCCCAGAUGGGAUUAGCUUGUUGGUGGGGUAACGGCUCACCAAGGCGACGAUCCCUAGCUGGUCUGAGAGGAUGACCAGCCACACUGGAACUGAGACACGGUCCAGACUCCUACGGGAGGCAGCAGUGGGGAAUAUUGCACAAUGGGCGCAAGCCUGAUGCAGCCAUGCCGCGUGUAUGAAGAAGGCCUUCGGGUUGUAAAGUACUUUCAGCGGGGAGGAAGGGAGUAAAGUUAAUACCUUUGCUCAUUGACGUUACCCGCAGAAGAAGCACCGGCUAACUCCGUG